AUUGAACGCUGGCGGCAGGCCUAACACAUGCAAGUCGAGCGAGCGGCGGACGGGUGAGUAAUGUAUGGGGACUACCCGAUAGAGGGGGAUAACUACUGGAAACGGUGGAUAAUAUCGCAUAAUGUCGGAUAACCCAUAUGGGAUUAGCUCGUAGGUAAGGUAAUGCCUUACCUAGGCGACGAUCCCUAGCUGGUCUGAGAGGGUGAUCAGCUCCACUGGGGCUUAGACACGGCCCCGACUCCUACGGAGGCAGCAGGUGGGAAUAUUGCACAAUGGGCGCAAUCCUGGUUCAUCCAUGCCGCGUGUAUUGAGAAGGCCCUAGGGUUGUUAAGUACUUUCAGUCGUGAGGCGUUACCGACAGAAGGAGCACCGGAUAACUCCGGGCCAGCAGCCGCGGUAAUAC
rnacentral:rRNA from 1 species